rnacentral:rRNA from 1 species
AUACGUAGGGUGCGAGCGUUGUCCGGAAUUACUGGGCGUAAAGAGCUCGUAGGUGGUUUGUCGCGUCGUCUGUGAAAUUCCGGGGCUUGACUCCGGGCGUGCAGGCGAUACGGGCAUAACUUGAGUACUGUAGGGGAGACUGGAAUUCCUGGUGUAGCGGUGAAAUGCGCAGAUAUCAGGAGGAACACCGGUGGCGAAGGCGGGUCUCUGGGCAGUAACUGACGCUGAGGAGCGAAAGCAUGGGUAGCGAACAGGAUUAGAUACCCUGGUAGUCCAUGCCGUAAACGGUGGGCGCUAGGUGUAGGGGUCUUCCACGACUUCUGUGCCGUAGCUAACGCAUUAAGCGCCCCGCCUGGGGAGUACGGCCGCAAGGCUAAAACUUAAAGGAAUUGGCGGGG